GUGAGGAAUAUUGGACAAUGGGCGCAAGCCUGAUCCAGCCAUGCCGCGUGCAGGAAGACGCAUCUAUGGUGUGUAAACUGCUUUUGUACGGGAAGAAACACUCCCUCGUGAGGGAGCUUGACGGUACCGUAAGAAUAAGGAUCGGCUAACUCCGUGCCAGCAGCCGCGGUAAUACGGAGGAUCCAAGCGUUAUCCGGAAUCAUUGGGGUUAAAGGGUCCGUAGGCGGUUUAAUAAGUCAGUGGUGAAAGCCCAUCGCUCAACGAUGGAACGGCCAUUGAUACUGUUAGACUUGAAUUACAAGGAAGUAACUAGAAUAUGUAGUGUAGCGGUGAAAUGCUUAGAUAUUACAUGGAAUACCAAUUGCGAAGGCAGGUUACUACUUGUGGAUUGACGCUGAUGGACGAAAGCGUGGGGAGCGAACAGGAUUAGAUACCCGAGUAGUCC
rnacentral:rRNA from 1 species